GCCUGGGGAGUACGGUCGCAAGACUAUAACUCAAAGGAAUUGACGGGGGCCCGCACAAGCAGCGGAGCGUGUUGCUUAAUUCCGAUGCUACGCGAAGAACCUUACCUAGGUUAAAUCAUUGGGAAAAGCCACAGAGAUGUGGUGUCCUUCGGGGCUCAAUGAAGGUGGUGCAUGGCUGUCGUCAGCUCGUGUCGUGAGAUGUUGGGUUAAGUCCCGCAACGAGCGCAACCCUUAUUCUAUGUUGCCAGCACGUAAUGGUGGGGACUCGUAGGAGACUGCCGGGGUCAACUCGGAGGAAGGUGGGGAUGACGUCAAGUCAUCAUGCCCCUUAUGUCUAGGGCUGCAAACACGCUACAAUGGCCGGUACAAAGGGCUGCGAAACCGCGAGGUUUAGCGAAUCCUAUAAAGCCGGUCUCAGUUCGGAUUGGAGGCUGCAACUCGCCUCCAUGAAGCUGGAGUUGCUAGUAAUCCCGGAUCAGCAACGCCGGGGUGAAUACGUUCCCGGGCCUUGUACACACCGCCCGUCACACCACGAAAGUCGGUAACACCCGAAGCCGGU
rnacentral:rRNA from 1 species